rnacentral:rRNA from 1 species
UCUCCUGCAGAUAAUCAGUGAAAUUAGUAUCCUCGUGCAAAAACGAGAAUGUGACCAUAAGACGAGAAGACCCUGUGGAACUUUAAAAUCACGACCACCCUUAUAAUUACAUUCACCCCACCGGGCACAUCCACACUAACACCCUUGGUCGACAUUUUUCGGUUGGGGCGACCUUGGAGAAAAACAAAACCUCCAAACUUACAGACCACACCUCUUAACCAAGAUCCACCCAUCAAAGUCCUAACAGUAACUAGACCCAAUAUAAUUGAUUAAUGGACCAAGCUACCCCAGGGAUAACAGCGCAAUCUCCUCCAAGAGCCCCUAUCGACAAGGAGGUUUACGACCUCGAUGUUGGAUCAGGACAACCUAAUGGUGUAGCCGCUAUUAAGGGUUCGUUUGUUCAACGAUUAACAGUCCUAC